rnacentral:rRNA from 1 species
GGCGGACGGGUGAGUAAUGCUUAGGAAUCUGCCUAUUAGUGGCGGACAACAUUCUGAUAGGGAUGCUAAUACCGCAUACGUCCUACGGGAGAAAGCAGGCGCUCUUAUGACCUUGCGCUAAUAGAUGAGCCUAAGUCGGAUUAGCUAGUUGGUGGGGUAAAGGCCUACCAAGGCGACGAUCUGUAGCGGGUCUGAGAGGAUGAUCCGCCACACUGGGACUGAGACACGGCCCAGACUCCUACGGGAGGCAGCAGUGGGGAAUAUUGGACAAUGGGGGGAACCCUGAUCCAGCCAUGCCGCGUGUGUGAAGAAGGCCUUAUGGUUGUAAAGCACUUUAAGUGAGGAGGAGGCUUACCUGGAUUAAUACCUGGGAUAAGUGGACGUUACCCACAGAAUAAGCACCGGCUAACUCUGUGCCAGCAGCCGCGGUAAUACAGAGGGUGCGAGCGUUAAUCGGAUUUACUGGGCGUAUAGCGCGCGUAGGUGGUUAAUUAAGUCAAAUGUGAAAUCCGCGAGCUUAACUUGGGAAUUGCAUUCGAUACUGGUUAGCUAGAGUAUGGGAGAGGAUGGUAGAAUUCCAGGUGUAGCGGUGAAAUGCGUAGAGAUCUGGAGGAAUACCGAUGGCGAAGGCAGCCAUCUGGCCUAAUACUGACACUGAGGUGCGAAAGCAUGGGGAGCAAACAGGAUUAGAUACCCUGGUAGUCCAUGCCGUAAACGAUGUCUACUAGCCGUUGGGGGAUUUGAUCCUUUAGUGGCGCAGCUAACGCGAUAAGUAGACCGCCUGGGGAGUACGGUCGCAAGACUAAAACUCAAAUGAAUUGACGGGGGCCCGCACAAGCGGUGGAGCAUGUGGUUUAAUUCGAUGCAACGCGAAGAACCUUACCUGGCCUUGACAUAGUAGAGACUUUCCAGAGAUGGAAAGGUGCCUUCGGGAAUCUACAUACAGGUGCUGCAUGGCUGUCGUCAGCUCGUGUCGUGAGAUGUUGGGUUAAGUCCCGCAACGAGCGCAACCCUUAUCCUUACUUGCCAGCAUUUCGGAUGGGAACUAUAAGGAUACUGCCAGUGACAAACUGGAGGAAGGCGCGGACGACGUC